ACCUCUCACACCCUCCUCGCCCUCCCCACCGACAUCAUGCUCCAGUUCCUGGUGAGUGGGGCCUCGGAGGAUCGGGCCCCGCGGUCGCCUCGUUCCCCCGGGGUCCCGGGUCGGCGGUGCACGGCUCUGCAGUUGGGGCUCGUCGCCCUCGGGUUUGCUCGCGCAGUUUUCCUCUGGCCUCCUCCUAAGUCCUUGGGUCUUUGCCUGGGUUUGUUUAUAUGUAGUCCUUCAAGUUCCGAAAACUUUGGGGUGUCAGUGAUAUGACUGCGUCUUCAAAAAACCACUUACUGUGAGCUCUUGGCGAAAUCUUCGCACUUGGAUUUACUUUGGGCAACGUGGUUGGAAUGUAUCUGGCUCAGAACUAUGAAAUGCCAAACCUGGCUAAAAAACUUGAAGAGAUUAAGAAGGACCUGGAAGCCAAGAAGAAGCCCCCUAGUUCCUGAUGCCUGCCUGGCACUGCAUUCUGGACCCACCAGUUCCAUCCUGGGGGGCCUGUCUUCUUCACAGCCACGUCCAAAGCUGUGUUCCUCUUCGGUCUCAGACCCUGCGCGUUGCUGAGGCUCCAGCACGGGCCAGAAGUGGAGUUAGCUUUCCGUUUCCAGCAUCUCCCCGUCUCCCGUAUCUUCCGUCCACCUGCUUCUGAGACCUAAGCCUGGAACCAUGGUGCUAGGUUAGCAGCCACAACCAUGACAGGACUCACUCGCCUGUGCUCUGGGAGUCCUACUGCCUACUGUCAAGAAAUGAAUGGAUUUGGAUAGCUGCCGGGGACUUACUGUCUAGCAGUGAUAACAGGAGCUGCUAGACAAACUAAAUUGUGUUAAAGUCAUUAAAGUUAGUAUCUUCAAGCCAGUUUCUGGUGAAUUAAUCCAUUUAUUGUAUAUUGUUACCAAGGAGCUCCAUGGUUGAUAAUUUAACCAGUAAAUCAUUUGCUGGUCAUUAACCAAGAAACUGUUUUAUGAAUUCUAUAAAAAGCAAACAAACUGGGAAAACUUAAAACAUGCAAAGUAACUGUUGUCUUCGUACAGUUCAGUCUACGCAGUCUAUGUUUUUCCUUAAUGAUAUAUUUGAACUGAAUCUGCCGUAAAAGAGCCAUUCUUUAUGCUGGCACUUGAUAGGAUGGGUGGAUAAAUGAGGAGCUGUUGAUAAAAGAAUGUUACUUCUUUUUUUUUUAACAUUAAAAUGUAUCCUAAUUGUAUAACUUCAUAGUGAACCCCCUAAGAGAAGUGUGGUGC
rnacentral:lncRNA from 1 species